UACGAAGGGGGCUAGCGUUGUUCGGAAUUACUGGGCGUAAAGCGCGCGCAGGCGGCUAUCCAAGUCAGUGGUGAAAGCCCGGAGCUCAACUCCGGAACUGCCAUUGAAACUGUUUAGCUUGAGGACGAGAGAGGUGAGUGGAAUUCCCAGUGUAGAGGUGAAAUUCGUAGAUAUUGGGAAGAACACCGGUGGCGAAGGCGGCUCACUGGCUCGUAACUGACGCUCAGACGCGACAGCGUGGGGAUCAAACAGG
rnacentral:rRNA from 1 species